rnacentral:rRNA from 1 species
AUUGAACGCUGGCGGCAGGCCUAACACAUGCAAGUCGAACGGUAACAGGAAGCAGCUUGCUGCUUUGCUGACGAGUGGCGGACGGGUGAGUAAUGUCUGGGAAACUGCCUGAUGGAGGGGGAUAACUACUGGAAACGGUAGCUAAUACCGCAUAACGUCGCAAGACCAAAGAGGGGGACCUUCGGGCCUCUUGCCAUCGGAUGUGCCCAGAUGGGAUUAGCUUGUUGGUGGGGUAACGGCUCACCAAGGCGACGAUCCCUAGCUGGUCUGAGAGGAUGACCAGCCACACUGGAACUGAGACACGGCCCAGACUCCUACGGGAGGCAGCAGUGGGGAAUAUUGCACAAUGGGCGCAAGCCUGAUGCAGCCAUGCCGCGUGUAUGAAGAAGGCCUUCGGGUUGUAAAGUACUUUCGGCGGGGAGGAAGGGAGUAAAGUUAAUACCUUUACUCAUUGACGUUACCCGCAGAAGAAGCACCGGCUAACUCCGU